rnacentral:rRNA from 1 species
UACGUAGGGGGCAAGCGUUGUCCGGAUUUAUUGGGCGUAAAGGGCUCGUAGGCGGUUUGUCGCGUCGGGAGUGAAAACCAGGUGCUUAACACCUGGCUUGCUUUCGAUACGGGCAGACUAGAGGUAUUCAGGGGAGAACGGAAUUCCUGGUGUAGCGGUGAAAUGCGCAGAUAUCAGGAGGAACACCGGUGGCGAAGGCGGUUCUCUGGGAAUGACCUGACGCUGAGGAGCGAAAGCGUGGGGAGCGAACAGG